rnacentral:rRNA from 1 species
AGUGAACGCUGGCGGUAGGCCUAACACAUGCAAGUCGAACGGCAGCACAGUAAGAGCUUGCUCUUACGGGUGGCGAGUGGCGGACGGGUGAGGAAUACAUCGGAAUCUACUUUUUCGUGGGGGAUAACGUAGGGAAACUUACGCUAAUACCGCAUACGACCUACGGGUGAAAGCAGGGGAUCUUCGGACCUUGCGCGAUUGAAUGAGCCGAUGUGGGAUUAGCUAGUUGGCGGGGUAAAGGCCCACCAAGGCGACGAUCCGUAGCUGGUCUGAGAGGAUGAUCAGCCACACUGGAACUGGGACACGGUCCAGGCUCCUACGGGAGGCAGCAGUGGGGAAUAGUGGACAAUGGGCGCAAGCCUGAUCCAGCCAUACCGCGUGGGUGAAGAAGGCCUUCGGGUUGUAAAGCCCUUUUGUUGGGAAAGAAAAGCAGCAGGUUAAUACCCCGCUGUUCUGACGGUACCCAAAGAAUAAGCACCGGCUAACUUCGUG